GAUGAACGCUAGCGGCAGGCCUAAUACAUGCAAGUCGGACGGGAUUCAGGAGCUUGCUUCUGAUGAGAGUGGCGCACGGGUGCGUAACACGUAUGUAACCUACCUUUAUCAGGGGGAUAGCCUCUCGAAAGAGAGAUUAAGCCCGCAUAAAAUCACAGCACAGCAUUGUGUAAUGAUCAAAUAUUUAUAGGAUAAAGAUGGGCAUGCGGAACAUUAGCUAGAUGGCGGGGUAACGGCCCACCAUGGCGACGAUGUUUAGGGGAUCUGAGAGGAUGGCCCCCCACACUGGUACUGAGACACGGACCAGACUCCUACGGGAGGCAGCAGUAAGGAAUAUUGGUCAAUGGGCGGAAGCUUGAACCAGCCAUGCCGCGUGCAGGAAGACGGCCCUACGGGUUGUAAACUGCUUUUAUACGGGAAUAAACCCAGAUACGUGUAUCUGGCUGAAUGUACUGUAAGAAUAAGGAUCGGCUAACUCCGUG
rnacentral:rRNA from 1 species